rnacentral:rRNA from 1 species
CCUACGGGAGGCAGCAGUGGGGAAUAUUGCACAAUGGGGGAAACCCUGAUGCAGCGACGCCGCGUGAGUGAAGAAGUAUUUCGGUAUGUAAAGCUCUAUCAGCAGGGAAGAAAAUGACGGUACCUGACUAAGAAGCCCCGGCUAACUACGUGCCAGCAGCCGCGGUAAUACGUAGGGGGCAAGCGUUAUCCGGAAUUACUGGGUGUAAAGGGAGCGUAGACGGUGAUGCAAGUCAUAAGUGAAAGCCCGGGGCUCAACUCCGGGACUGCUUUUGAAACUGUGUGACUGGAUUGCAGGAGAGGUAAGCGGAAUUCCUGGUGUAGCGGUGAAAUGCGUAGAUAUCAGGAGGAACACCAGUGGCGAAGGCGGCUUACUGGACUGUAACUGACGUUGAGGCUCGAAAGCGUGGGGAGCAAACAGGAUUAGAUACCCUUGUAGUC